GCGUUGUUCGGAUUCAUUGGGCGUAAAGGGUGCGUAGGUGGCGCGCUAAGUCAGGUGUGAAAUCUCGGAGCUUAACUUCGAAACUGCAUCUGAUACUGGCGUGCUUGAGGUCUGGAGAGGAGACUGGAAUCCACGGUGUAGCAGUGAAAUGCGUAGAGAUCGGGAGGAAGACCAGUGGCGAAGGCGGGUCUCUGGACAGUUCCUGACACUGAGGCACGAAGGCCAG
rnacentral:rRNA from 1 species